GCCCCCGCCAACUCUCUCUUGCUCCUACUCUGCCAUAUGAAUGUUUGUUCCCCCUUUGCCUUCAGCCAUGAUUAGAAGCUUCAUUAGGACUCCUCAGAAGUAGAUGUUGGUGCCAUACUUCCUGUAUAGCCUGUAGUACCAUGAACCUCUUCGCUUUAUAAAUUACCUGGUCUUGGGGAUUUCUUUAUAGCAAUGCAAGAAUGACCUAAUACAGAAAACUGGUACUGAGAAGUGAGUCAUUGCUGUAGAGAUACCUGAAAAUGUGGAAGCAGCUUUGGAACUUGGUGACAGGCAGAAGUUGGAAGAGUUUGUAGGGCUCAGAAGAAGACAGAAAGAUGAGGGAAAGUUUGGAAUUUCUUAGGGACUGGUUAAAUGGUUGUGACCAAAAUGCUGAUAGCUAGGACAUGAACAGAAUGCACCCAAGCACUUUGCUAAGGUCACACAAUGUUAACGCCUUAGCAAAGAGCUUAGCUGCCUUCUGUUCAUGCCCUAGGAAUCUGUGGAAGUUUGAACUUGAGAGUGAUGAUUUAGGGUAUCUGGCAGAAGAAAUGUCUAAGCAGCAAAGUGAUCAAGAAGUGGUGUGGCUGCUUCUAGCCACUUAUAUUCAGAUGUGGGAGCAAAGACAAAAGGUAGAACUUAUAUUUAAAAGGGAAGCAGAGCAAAAAAAGUUUGGAAAAUUUGCAGCCUGGCCAUGUGGCAGAGAAAGAAAAAAGCUUUUUCAGUAGAGGAAUUCAAGCAGACUGUGGAACAAUUACUUGCUAGAGAUGUUUGCAGGAUUAAAGGGGAGCCAAGUGCUACUAUCCAAGACAAUAGGGAAAAAGCCUUGAAAGCAUUUCAAAGAACUUCAGAGUGGCUUCUCCCAUCACAGGCCCAGAAGCUUAGGAGGAGAGAAUAGAUUCAUGGACUGGGCCCAGGGCCAUGGUACCUUGCACAGCCUUGGGACACUGCUCACCACAUCCUAGCUGCUCCUGUUCCCACUCUUGCCAUGGCUCAAAGGGGCCUACAUACAGCUUGGACUGCCACUUUGGAGAAUGCAAACAGUAAACCUUGGUAGCUUUCAUGUGGUGUUAAGCCUGCAGGCACACAAAGUGCAAGAAUCGUGGAUUCUUGGCAGCCUCUGCCUAGAUUUCAGAGGACAUAUGGAAAAGUCUGUUUGUCCAGGCAGAAGCCUGUUACAGGGGUGGAGCCCUUACAAAGAACCUCUACUAGGGCAGUAUAGAGGGGAAAUGUGGGGUUGGAGGCUCCAACAGGGUCACCGCUGGGGCACUGCCUAAUGGAACUAUACGAAGUGGGCCACUGCCCUCCAGACCUAAGGAUGAUAGAUCUACCAGCAGCUUGUAUUCUGCACCUGGAAAAGCCACAGGCACUCAACUGCAGCCCAUGAGCGCAGCCUUGGAUUCUUUACCCUGCAAAGCCAUAGGGGCAGGACUGCUCAAGGCCUGGGGAGCCCACCCCUUGUACCAGUGUGGCCUGGAUGUGGAACAUGAUGUCGAAGAUUAUUUUGGAACUUUAAGAUUUAGUGACUUCCCUACUGGGUUUUGGAGCUGUGUGGAUCCUGUAGACCCUUUCUUUUGGCCAAUUUCCCCCUUUUUGGGAUGGAAACAUUUACCCAAUCCCUAUACCCCCAUUGUAUCUUGGAAGUAAAUAAUUUGUUUUUGAUUUUACAGGCUUAUAGGUGAAAGUGACUUCCCUUGUCUCCAAUGAGGCUUUGGACUUUGGACUUUUGAGUUAAUGCCAGAAUGAGUUAAGAUUUUGGGGGCCUAUUGGAAAGGCAUGAUUGUAGUUUGCAAUGUGAGAAGGACAUGAGAUUUGGAGAGGCCAGAGGUGGAAUGGUAUAGUUCAGAUAUUUGACCCAGCCCAAAUCUCUUGUUGAAUUGUAAUCCCCAAUGCUGGAGGUGGGGCCUUCCUUGUAUGAUGUGUUUGGAACAUGCAGGCAAAUUCCUCAUGGCUUGGUGCUGUUUUCAUGAUAGUGAGUGAGUUCUCCUGAGAUGUGGUCAUUUAAAAGUGUAUGGCACCUCCCCCCACUCUCUAUCUCUCUUGCUCCUGCUCUGCUAUAUGAGACACCUGUUCCCCGUUUGCCUUCCACCAUGAUUGAAAGCUUUGUGAGACCUCCUCAGAAGCCAAGCAGAUGCCAGUGCCAUGCUGCCUGUAUAGCCUGCAGAACCACAAGCCAAGUAAACCUCUUUUCUUUAUAAAUUACUUAGUCUCAGAUAUUUCUUUACAGCAAUGUAAGAAUGGCCUAAUACAAUAGCCUAAACUAAUUUGAGGGAGGUGAUGUGUCUCUUGCUACACAAAGUAUGGUUCAUGGACUAACAGCAUUGGCGUCACCAGGAGGUUGUCAGAAGUACAGACUUUCAGUUCCCUUCCCAGACCUA
rnacentral:lncRNA from 10 species